rnacentral:tRNA from 1 species
GACCGCGUAGCUCAGUUGGCAGAGCAUUGGGCUAGCAUUCCAAAGGUCGUAGGUUCGAUUCCCACCGUGGCCG